GACAGAGGUGCCGAGCGUUAGGCGGAAUCACUGGGCUUAAAGCGUGUGUAGGCGGACUUCUAAGUACCUUGUGAAAUCCCACGGCUCAACCGUGGAACUGCUCGGUAUACUGGUUGUCUUGAGCCACUUAGGGGCAGUCGGAACAGACGGUGGAGCGGUGAAAUGCGUAGAUAUCGUCUGGAACGCCAAAGGUGAAAACAGACUG
rnacentral:rRNA from 1 species